GACCGACGGGAGCUUGCUCCCUUAGGUCAGCGGCGGACGGGUGAGUAACACGUGGGUAACCUGCCUGUAAGACUGGGAUAACUCCGGGAAACCGGGGCUAAUACCGGAUGCUUGAUUGAACCGCAUGGUUCAAUCAUAAAAGGUGGCUUUUAGCUACCACUUACAGAUGGACCCGCGGCGCAUUAGCUAGUUGGUGAGGUAACGGCUCACCAAGGCGACGAUGCGUAGCCGACCUGAGAGGGUGAUCGGCCACACUGGGACUGAGACACGGCCCAGACUCCUACGGGAGGCAGCAGUAGGGAAUCUUCCGCAAUGGACGAAAGUCUGACGGAGCAACGCCGCGUGAGUGAUGAAGGUUUUCGGAUCGUAAAACUCUGUUGUUAGGGAAGAACAAGUACCGUUCGAAUAGGGCGGCACCUUGACGGUACCUAACCAGAAAGCCACGGCUAACUACGUGCCAGCAGCCGCGGUAAUACGUAGGUGG
rnacentral:rRNA from 1 species